UUUUGAACUCGCUCCACCCUCAGCACCCAGGGUCUCGUCUCAUUUUGGAAGCUAAGCAGGGUCAGAGCUGGUCAGGGCUGGGAUGGGAGAUUCCAAGGGAGCACCAGGGAACUCCAGGU
rnacentral:rRNA from 1 species